ACGAACGCUGGCGGCGUGCCUAAUACAUGCAAGUAGAACGCUGAAGGAGGAGCUUGCUUCUCUGGAUGAGUUGCGAACGGGUGAGUAACGCGUAGGUAACCUGCCUGGUAGCGGGGGAUAACUAUUGGAAACGAUAGCUAAUACCGCAUAAGAGUAGAUGUUGCAUGACAUUUACUUAAAAGGUGCAAUUGCAUCACUACCAGAUGGACCUGCGUUGUAUUAGCUAGUUGGUGAGGUAACGGCUCACCAAGGCAACGAUACAUAGCCGACCUGAGAGGGUGAUCGGCCACACUGGGACUGAGACACGGCCCAGACUCCUACGGGAGGCAGCAGUAGGGAAUCUUCGGCAAUGGACGGAAGUCUGACCGAGCAACGCCGCGUGAGUGAAGAAGGUUUUCGGAUCGUAAAGCUCGGUUGUAAGAGAAGAACGAGUGUGAGUGUGGAAAGUUCACACUGUGACGGUAUCUUACCAGAAAGGGACGGCUAACUACGUG
rnacentral:rRNA from 1 species